rnacentral:rRNA from 1 species
AAAUUGAAGAGUUUGAUCAUGGCUCAGAUUGAACGCUGGCGGCAGGCCUAACACAUGCAAGUCGAGCGGUAGCACAGAGAGCUUGCUCUCGGGUGACGAGCGGCGGACGGGUGAGUAAUGUCUGGGAAACUGCCUGAUGGAGGGGGAUAACUACUGGAAACGGUAGCUAAUACCGCAUAAUGUCGUAAGACCAAAGUGGGGGACCUUCGGGCCUCAUGCCAUCAGAUGUGCCCAGAUGGGAUUAGCUAGUAGGUGGGGUAACGGCUCACCUAGGCGACGAUCCCUAGCUGGUCUGAGAGGAUGACCAGCCACACUGGAACUGAGACACGGUCCAGACUCCUACGGGAGGCAGCAGUGGGGAAUAUUGCACAAUGGGCGCAAGCCUGAUGCAGCCAUGCCGCGUGUGUGAAGAAGGCCUUCGGGUUGUAAAGCACUUUCAGCGGGGAGGAAGGCGUUAAGGUUAAUAACCUUGGCGAUUGACGUUACCCGCAGAAGAAGCACCGGCUAACUCCGUGCCAGCAGCCGCGGUAAUACGGAGGGUGCAAGCGUUAAUCGGAAUUACUGGGCGUAAAGCGCACGCAGGCGGUCUGUCAAGUCGGAUGUGAAAUCCCCGGGCUCAACCUGGGAACUGCAUUCGAAACUGGCAGGCUAGAGUCUUGUAGAGGGGGGUAGAAUUCCAGGUGUAGCGGUGAAAUGCGUAGAGAUCUGGAGGAAUACCGGUGGCGAAGGCGGCCCCCUGGACAAAGACUGACGCUCAGGUGCGAAAGCGUGGGGAGCAAACAGGAUUAGAUACCCUGGUAGUCCACGCCGUAAACGAUGUCGAUUUGGAGGUUGUGCCCUUGAGGCGUGGCUUCCGGAGCUAACGCGUUAAAUCGACCGCCUGGGGAGUACGGCCGCAAGGUUAAAACUCAAAUGAAUUGACGGGGGCCCGCACAAGCGGUGGAGCAUGUGGUUUAAUUCGAUGCAACGCGAAGAACCUUACCUGGUCUUGACAUCCACAGAACUUUCCAGAGAUGGAUUGGUGCCUUCGGGAACUGUGAGACAGGUGCUGCAUGGCUGUCGUCAGCUCGUGUUGUGAAAUGUUGGGUUAAGUCCCGCAACGAGCGCAACCCUUAUCCUUUGUUGCCAGCGGUCCGGCCGGGAACUCAAAGGAGACUGCCAGUGAUAAACUGGAGGAAGGUGGGGAUGACGUCAAGUCAUCAUGGCCCUUACGACCAGGGCUACACACGUGCUACAAUGGCAUAUACAAAGAGAAGCGACCUCGCGAGAGCAAGCGGACCUCAUAAAGUAUGUCGUAGUCCGGAUUGGAGUCUGCAACUCGACUCCAUGAAGUCGGAAUCGCUAGUAAUCGUAGAUCAGAAUGCUACGGUGAAUACGUUCCCGGGCCUUGUACACACCGCCCGUCACACCAUGGGAGUGGGUUGCAAAAGAAGUAGGUAGCUUAACCUUCGGGAGGGCGCUUACCACUUUGUGAUUCAUGACUGGGGUGAAGUCGUAACAAGGUAACCGUAGGGGAACCUGCGGUUGGAUCACCUCCUUACCUUAAAGAA